AACGAACGCUGGCGGCAGGCUUAACACAUGCAAGUCGAACGGUUGUAGCAAUACAGCAGUGGCGCACGGGUGAGUAACGCGUGGAUAUCUGCCUUUUGGUUCGGAAUAAACCCGGGAAACUGGGGCUAAUACCGGAUGGUUCCUUCGGGAUAAAGAUUUAUCGCCAAAAGAUGAGUCCGCGUACGAUUAGCUAGUUGGUAAGGUAAUGGCUCACCAAGGCGACGAUCGUUAGCUGGUCUGAGAGGACGAUCAGCCACACUGGGACUGAGACACGGCCCAGACUCCUACGGGAGGCAGCAGUGGGGAAUAUUGGACAAUGGGGGCAACCCUGAUCCAGCCAUGCCGCGUGAGUGAUGAAGGCCUUCGGGUUGUAAAGCUCUUUUGGCGGGGACGAUGAUGACGGUACCCGCAGAAUAAGCCCCGGCUAACUUCGUGCCAGCCGCCGCGGUAAGAC
rnacentral:rRNA from 1 species